rnacentral:tRNA from 3 species
GGGCGUUUAGCUCAGCGGGAGAGCACUGCCUUCACACGGCAGGGGCCACUGGUUCAAUCCCAGUAACGCCCACCA